rnacentral:rRNA from 1 species
GAUGAACGCUGGCGGCGUGCUUAACACAUGCAAGUCGAACGGAAAGGCCCAAGCUUGCUUGGGUACUCGAGUGGCGAACGGGUGAGUAACACGUGGGUGAUCUGCCCUGCACUUCGGGAUAAGCCUGGGAAACUGGGUCUAAUACCGGAUAGGACGAUGGUUUGGAUGCCAUUGUGGAAAGUUUUUUCGGUGUGGGAUGAGCUCGCGGCCUAUCAGCUUGUUGGUGGGGUAAUGGCCUACCAAGGCGUCGACGGGUAGCCGGCCUGAGAGGGUGUACGGCCACAUUGGGACUGAGAUACGGCCCAGACUCCUACGGGAGGCAGCAGUGGGGUAUAUUGCACAAUGGGCGCAAGCCUGAUGCAGCGACGCCGCGUGGGGGAUGACGGCCUUCGGGUUGUAAACUCCUUUCGCUAGGGACGAAGCGUUUUUGUGACGGUACCUGGAGAAGAAGCACCGGCUAACUACGUG